rnacentral:rRNA from 1 species
CACGUAGGGCGCAAGCGUUGUCCGGAAUUAUUGGGCGUAAAGAGCUCGUAGGUGGUUUGUUACGUCUGCUGUGAAAACCUAGGGCUUAACCCUGGGCUUGCAGUGGAUACGGGCAGACUAGAGGUAGGUAGGGGAGAAUGGAAUUCCUGGUGUAGCGGUGAAAUGCGCAGAUAUCAGGAGGAACACCAGCGGCGAAGGCGGCAUCCUGGACUGGUACUGACGCUCAGGAGCGAAAGCGUGGGGAGCGAUCCGG